rnacentral:lncRNA from 1 species
GGAGCCCUGAGGUCUAGCCAAGACUUGCAAGGCAGUGAGGGGCUCCCGGUUGCCAGGACUCCCCACUCAGUCUUGCACAGUGCAUCUCCUGGCUGUUGGAUCCCAAGCACAUUGUGGUGUGAAAGCUGCCUGCUCCUAGAACUGGUCCUGGACACUUUCUUGUCUGUGUAAAUGGACAGUGAAGACAGACGCACUCUUCUAGGGAGAAGACACUGGUGUCAGGUUUUAAUAAAAUAAAGGUGACAAG